rnacentral:tRNA from 1 species
GCGCCUGUAGCUCAGCUGGAUAGAGCAACUGCCUUCUAAGCAGUAGGCCGCCUGUUCGAAUCAGGCCAGGCGCG